CAUGCGGCGCUUCGAGCGCCUACUCUGUUCUACAGGAGAAUAUGACCUCACUUACUAGUUCUGAAUAGUGCAGUCAAGUUGUCGGUUGCUGCAUGUGUACUGCAGUACAUACCGCAUGUGGCAGAUCACGUCACCCAUUGCUUUGCAUCAAGUUCAGCGUGCGCACUUCAUUACAAGCUCACCAGGUGUAUUGGAAGCUUCACCAUAAUGGCAAGUUGCAGUGACACUGGUUCAGAGUCUCCAGACCGACAGAAGAGCAGUCCAAAACCGAAGAAAAGAAAAUACCAGCAAAAGUACAAGCCAGCUUGGGAGCAUGAGAAAGCGUUUCAAAGUUGGCUGCAACAAAGCAAGAAGGGCAACCGUUAUGCGCACUGCAAAACAUGCGACAUGAACCUAAUUGCCGGCAAGAAACUGUUGGAACGGCACAUGAAAUCUGCGAAACAUGAAGAAAUUGCCAGAAAGCUUAUGUCCCAGCCAACGCUGAUGCAAGCAAUGCCUAGCAUUGCUAUCUCUUCACAGGUUAAAGAAGCUGAAGUAAGAAUGGCUAUGUUUGUCGCCGAGCACAGCCUGCCCUUUACGGUCAUGGACCAUCUGCCAAAGCUCGUGAAAAAAAUUUGCCCGGACUCGGAUAUUGCAAAGCAGAUUGCCUGCAGUAGAAGAAAAACAUCAGUGAUAACGAAGGUCGUGACAGGCGAGGAGAGCGAAUCGCGGCUGUGGAGGCUACUUCGAGAAAAGAAAUUUUCAGUCAUGGUUGACGAGUCAACGGACGUCAGCUGCCACAAGCACUUGUGUGUUGUUACAAGGGUUUUCGAAAAAGAUAAAGUGACUGAUGCUUUCUUUGAUCUCAUCCCUGUGACGGAUGUGAGUGCCACUGGCCUUUAUAGUGCCCUUACUGGUACUUUUCAGAGAGCGGGUGUUCCUUAUAAAGACAAUCUAGUUGGCUUUGCUGCAGACGGCGCAAGUGUCAUGAUGGGUAGUAAACAUUCUGUGAUGGUACUGCUGAAGAAGGAGAUUCCCGGCUUGUUCAUUCUUAAG